rnacentral:rRNA from 1 species
UUUCUGGGUGGAUUAAAUAGAGAGAUUCAGACCAUUCUAGACUAUAAGGAGUAUACUAAUAUCACUCGUUUAUUCCAUCUUGCUUGUAAAGCUGAACGUGAAGUGCAGGAUCGACAAGCAUUGGGGCGAACUAACUUUUCUGCAGGCCGACCUUCAUCAUGGACACCACGUGCAUCUUCUACUUCAACUGCACCAGCACCUCAGUCACGUGCCUCCUCCAGUCGUGAUACAAGAAAACAGGCACAACCACCAUUAUCUGCCAAGAGCGCACCUGCUGGGCCUGCACAGAGUUCUUCUUCUUCCAUGGCAUCAACAGGGCACACAAGUGAUAUUAUUUGUCGUCGUUGUAAGGGAGGAGGUCAUUAUGCAAGAGAAUGCAAAUCUCCGCGUGUGAUGAUUGCUACCGCGGAUGGUGGAUAUGAGUCCGCUAGUGACUAUGAUGAGGAGACUUUGGCUCUUAUUACACGUGAAGAACAUGGUGGAGAUGAUUCUGAUCAUGAGACGCAAUACAUGGCUCCUGAAGACGCUGACAGGUAUGAAUGUUUAGUUGCUCAACGUGUUUUGAGUGUGCAGAUCACACAAGCUGAGCAAAAUCAGAGGCACAAUUUGUUCCAU